GGGUCCCGACCUGUGCGCACACAACCAGCACUGUGACGACGGUGACACAGGCCUGACGGGACCUAGAGGUCCACCCGUUUCCCAAGCCUACACUGGCCCCCUGAUGGUCUGUAAUGGCGGCCUGCUUCACCUAAAUAACUGCCAUCCAAGGAAGGAAUAAAACCACACCACCACUCUGUUCGAGUGCACCUACCCGAUUUGUGAAGAUCCUGGAUGGAAAAAAACCCAUCCACCGAGACUAACCCUGCUGGUCCAAAGUACAAUUUCCUCUUUAAACAACUGCAGUAUCUAUGCAUUCCAAUGAGACAAUUCUGACAAAAACAGUCACUGGAUGUAGACUCUGGGCUGUCGGUGGAACAAGUAAUAAACUAUAGAAAAAAACGUACAGAUGUUCUCUGCCUUAUGGAAGUCCCCAAUUUGUACGUUCUUAUGACUCAAAAGAGCCAACUGCUUCACUGCCCGCCAGGGCUCUCCACCUGAGCGCCAACCUUUCCGGCUCAUCUCUCCUUAUCUGAGCCAGGCGGCCCUUCUCCAAACAAGCCAGCUGGGCCUCCGCCCUCAUGCUCCUGCCUGAGAUCACCAAGUAAUGAAGUGGUGUGUACUGGUCAAAAGCAUGAGUAUCUACCACUUCGUGGAAGUGCUGGGACCCUGGACCUACUACGCAGACUGCCUCUGUGAUCAGGGGCACGAAUUACUUGACCACGCUAAGCUUCUGUUACCAGCCCCCUCCGUAAAAUAAGAAUGGUGGCCAGAGAGACAAAGAGACCGGGAAGAACUGUCACAGUGGGAGGAGGCAUGAAAGGAAAGGCACAGGAAAAGGGGCAGACACUACACAGUGCUGAGAAGGAAAAGACGUGGAGUCUAAACACGGCUUCCGGGCUUCAAGGACGGCACGAGGCGGCCCCUUCGGGAACAUGGCGGGUUCUUCUAUUUCAUUUUAGGUGUUAAAAAUGUUUGCUAUUAAUUUCCUGAGAAAUGAUUAUGUAAGGACCAUAAAGGUUCAAAUAUGAUUAGCCACUCUUUCCUUCUGUACAGGAGUGCAUUAUUUUUGUCCUUUGUGGAGACUCUGGGGGUGAGGACCAGGCCCCUGUGCUCUGCCGACGCACACGACAGCUCUAUUAGAAGUACUCAUAGCACCACCACUUAGAAAAAAGCAAGCCCCGUUCUUACCUGCC